rnacentral:lncRNA from 1 species
UAGGUGGAUAUAAUAAACAUUUUUUACAUCUAAAUUAUAUAUUGUCUUUAUAAGAAUAUAAUUGAUUUGUAUUAUAACAUAUGUUGUACUUGAUGCUAGUUUGUAAUGUAUAAUGUUUCAUAUGUAGUAGGGGUGCGCAUUCAGCUACUCAUUCAGGUUUGGUUCGGGUCUACUUAAGUUAGAGUUUUCGAGGUUAAAAUUUUAGUUCUAUUGGUGACAAAAAAAAUUAGCUCCAUUUGGGUAUUUAUAAAUUUUGGGUAGGGUUCGUUUGGAUCUUUGUGGAUUCGGUUCGGGUUUGGAUAACCCGUUAAAAUUAUUUUAAAAAUUUUUAAAGUCAUUUAUGCUUUCAUUUUUAAAAAUCUAAAGUAAAAUAAUAUGUUACAUAUAAAUUUGAAUAAUGUAUACUGAAAUACCUAAAUUUAACAUAUAAAUUAGUUUGGCUUUUAUAUUUGGAUAGAAAAUUAAUAGAUAUUUCAAGUAUGUUUAGUGUUGAGUAUUGUUUGACUAUUUUAGACAUUUACUUUUAUUAUCUGUAUAUAUUUUAAAAUAUUUUGGACAAUUCCAAAAUAUCAAGUAUUUUAGAUAUUAUAUAUAUUAAGCCUAAAAAUUAAUAUAUUUAAGUAUGUAAAUAUAUUUGGAUACAUUUGAAUAUCCAAAAUACUUUGGUUUGUGACCGUUUCGGUUCUCUCAAUACCAAAAUUUUAAACUCAUUUGAAUAUUUAACUAAUUUCUGUUCAAGUUUAGUUCUUAGGAUUCAGUUCAGUUUUUCGGAUUUGGGGUUUUCGCCCAACUCUAAUAUGUAGUAAAUUAGUGGUUUGAUUUAGGGAUUGAUAAGGAGCUGAUUUUUUUAAAUAUUUAAAUUAUUUUAAAUUAGAUUAUAAAAAAUAAUUUAGUUCAACUAAGCAUAAUUUCUAAUAUAAUUUUAACCAAAAUAAAU